AUGGAGGAUUUCAAAGAGUUUGUUCAUGUCAUCAUGCCUAGCGGUGGAUCGUGGAAUGAGGAAUGGGGGUGGGGGGUCUUGAGCAAUUGGAAGUUCGGUCAAAGUAAAGAUAUUUUGACUUCGGACAAAACUUAUAUGCAGAUAAAAAAGGACCGGUAUAGUAGUAGAUCAAAGAACCCAACAAUGCUUCCCACAAACUGGCCAAUAUUGCACAUGUUACCUUCCUUCCUGGCCAACUCCCACAACUUGCAUGACUAUCUCUCCGUAGUGCUUGCCGAAUCAGGCCACAACUUCAAGGCGCAUGGCCCGGUUGGGAGCGGGAUGCGGUUGCUCAUCACCUGCGACCCCGCGAAUGUAUGA
rnacentral:rRNA from 1 species